UACGUAGGCAGCAAGCGUUGUUCGGAGUUACUGGGCGUAAAGGGUGUGUAGGCGGUUCUUUAAGUUUGGUGUGAAAUCUCCCGGCUCAACCGGGAGGGUGCGCCGAAUACUGAGGGACUCGAGUGCGGGAGAGGAAAGUGGAAUUCCUGGUGUAGCGGUGAAAUGCGUAGAUAUCAGGAGGAACACCGGUGGUGUAGACGGCUUUCUGGACCGUAACUGACGCUGAGGAGCGAAAGCGUGGGGAGCAAACAGG
rnacentral:rRNA from 1 species